GAUUCGCGGCCUAUCAGCUUGUUGGUGAGGUAAUGGCUCACCAAGGCGUCGACGGGUAGCCGGCCUGAGAGGGUGACCGGCCACACUGGGACUGAGACACGGCCCAGACUCCUACGGGAGGCAGCAGUGGGGAAUAUUGCACAAUGGGCGAAAGCCUGAUGCAGCAACGCCGCGUGAGGGACGACGGCCUUCGGGUUGUAAACCUCUUUUAGCAAGGAAGAAGCGAAAGUGACGGUACUUGCAGAAAAAGCGCCGGCUAACUACGUGCCAGCAGCCGCGGUAAUACGUAGGGCGCAAGCGUUAUCCGGAAUUAUUGGGCGUAAAGAGCUCGUAGGCGGUUUGUCGCGUCUGCUGUGAAAACCCGAGGCUCAACCUCGGGCCUGCAGUGGGUACGGGCAGACUAGAGUGCGGUAGGGGAGAUUGGAACUCCUGGUGUAGCGGUGGAAUGCGCAGAUAUCAGGAAGAACACCGAUGGCGAAGGCAGAUCUCUGGGCCGUAACUGACGCUGAGGAGCGAAAGGGUGGGGAGCAAACAGGCUUAGAUACCCUGGUAGUCCACCCCGUAAACGUUGGGAACUAGUUGUGGGGUCCAUUCCACGGAUUCCGUGACGCAGCUAACGCAUUAAGUUCCCCGCCUG
rnacentral:rRNA from 1 species